rnacentral:rRNA from 1 species
UAGGGAAUCUUCGGCAAUGGACGAAAGUCUGACCGAGCAACGCCGCGUGAGUGAAGAAGGUUUUCGGAUCGUAAAACUCUGUUGUUAGAGAAGAACAAGGACGUUAGUAACUGAACGUCCCCUGACGGUAUCUAACCAGAAAGCCACGGCUAACUACGUGCCAGCAGCCGCGGUAAUACGUAGGUGGCAAGCGUUGUCCGGAGUUAUUGGGCGUAAAGCGAGCGCAGGCGGUUUCUUAAGUCUGAUGUGAAAGCCCCCGGCUCAACCGGGGAGGGGCAUUGGAAACUGGGAGACUUGAGUGCAGAAGAGGAGAGUGGAAUUCCAUGUGUAGCGGUGAAAUGCGUAGAUAUAUGGAGGAACACCAGUGGCGAAGGCGGCCCCCUGGACGAAGACUGACGCUCAGGUGCGAAAGCGUGGGGAGCAAACAGG